CACCGACACACUGGCAGCACAAUGAUGAUGUCUCUGACUCUACUGCUGGCCACCCUGGGGCUCCUUGUUCAGGAUUCAUCAGGAGAAAUCAUCCUGACUCAGUCUCCUGGAUCUCAGUCUGUUGUUCCAGGACAAACUGUCUCUAUCAAAUGUAAAACCAGUUCAGGCGUUAGCAGCUACCUCAACUGGUACCUUCAGAAACCUGGAGAAGCUCCUAAACUCCUGAUUUAUCAGGCUACAAACCUUCAGUCUGGAGUUUCAGAUCGUUUUAGUGGAAGUGGAUCUGGGUCUGACUACACUCUGACCAUCAGUAGAGUUCAGGCUGAAGAUUCAGGAGUUUACUACUGUCAGCAGAGUGACAGCAGCCCGUUCACACAGUGAUACAACGUCGUACAAAAACCUCCCUCAGCUGCAGAGGAACUGAUAUGAAUCAACAGCUGCACUGAAACUAAAACAGUAGAGUUUUCAUGGAAGAAACAGAAACAUUUAAUAAUAAGCAUUUUUAGUCUUUUAAUAUGUUGUCUUUUGAACAAAAGUGAAAAGAUUUCAGUUAUUAUGGAACCUUAUUUAAGGACACUCGGUGUAAUUUGAAUAUGUUUCAUCAGUUCUGACUUAAAAGCUGCUCUGAAACCAAAACACUAAAGAUCAGA